GCGGGGGCGGGGCGGGCGCCGCCGGGGUGUGGGGAGGGGGCGGCCCCGACUGGGCGACCGGCCGAGGUGUCCCGCAAGCCAAGCCCAAGUAGGCUCCCGCGGGGAGGAGUAAACUGAGGCUGGCCGCCCGCCUGCCCGGCCCUGUCCCGGCACCCGAUUCUCAGGCAGUUGGAAGAGAAUGAUGCUGGCCCAGUUCCCGGAGCGCAAACAUCUUUGAUGACACCUGGUUGUGCAUGGGAGGAGACGCAGGACUGGCCCAUCCCGCAGCCCCCCCCCCCACCUUCGGGGCCCUGGCAGGGGGGCAGUACCGGGCUCCCCUUAGGCUGGAGAGCCGUGAGGGUGGGGGCCUGGGGGUGGUGGGACCCCAGGGGCACAGACCCCACAGCGUGUCCUCCAGAGAGCGACCCCCUCCUCCCAGCAGAGCUGCUCGGAGCCCUCACCCGGGCCCUGCGCGCUGUGUGCACCUUCCCCGACGUCCUGGGCUAGUGGGUGCCACAGCAGCACUGUCCUCUGGGGCACCGGGGGCUCCGUCAGUGAAGUGUCCGCCUUCAGCUCAGGUCAUGGUCCUGGGGUCCAGCCCCCUGCUCAGUGGGGAGUCCGCUUCUCCCUCUGCCCCCCUCCCCACUUGUGCUCUCUCUCCCUCAAAUAAAAUCUUAAAAGAA